UACGAAGGGGGGCUAGCGUUGCUCGGAAUUACUGGGCGUAAAGCGCACGUAGGCGGAUUGUUAAGUCAGGGGUGAAAUCCUGGAGCUCAACUCCAAAAACUGCCUUUGAUACUGAGGAUCUUGAGUUCGGGAGAGGUGUGUGGAACUCCGAGUGUAGAGGUGAAAUUCGUAGAUAUUCGGAAGAACACCAGUGGCGAAAGGCGACACACUGGCUCAUUACUGACGCUGAGGCGCGAAAGCGUGGGGAGCAAACAGG
rnacentral:rRNA from 1 species